rnacentral:rRNA from 1 species
UACGGGGGGGGCAAGCGUUGUUCGGAAUUACUGGGUGUAAAGGGUUCGUAGGCGGUGUGGCAAGUCGGGAGUGAAAUCUCUGGGCUCAACCCAGAGUCUGCUUCCGAAACUGCUGUGCUUGAGUGUGGGAGAGGCGCGUGGAAUUGCAGGUGUAGCGGUGAAAUGCAUAGAUAUCUGCAGGAACACCCGUGGCGAAAGCGGCGCGCUGGACCACUACUGACGCUGAGGAACGAAAGCUAGGGGAGCAAACAGG